rnacentral:tRNA from 1 species
ACGACCGUAGCUCAGUUGGUUAGAGCACCACCUUGACCAUUGGUGGGGGUCGGUGGUUCGAAUCCACUCGGUCGUACCA